rnacentral:rRNA from 1 species
GAUCCUGCUCAGGAUGAACGCUAGCUACAGGCUUAACACAUGCAAGUCGAGGGGCAGCAUGUUGGUUGCUUGCAACCGAUGAUGGCGACCGGCGCACGGGUGAGUAACGCGUAUCCAACCUACCCUUGUCCAUCGGAUAACCCGUCGAAAGGCGGCCUAACACGAUAUGCGGUUCACCGCAGGCAUCUAACGUUAACGAAAUGUGAAGGAGAAGGAUGGGGAUGCGUCUGAUUAG